UACGGUGAAUACGUUCCCGGACCUUGUACACACCGCCCGUCAAGCCAUGGAAGCCGGGUGUACCUAAAGUCGGUAACCGCAAGGAGCCGCCUAGGGUAAAACUGGAGACUGGGGCU
rnacentral:rRNA from 1 species